rnacentral:rRNA from 1 species
GACGAACGCUGGCGGCGUGCUUAACACAUGCAAGUCGAACGGAAAGGCUCCAGCUUGCUGGAGUACUCGAGUGGCGAACGGGUGAGUAACACGUGGGUAAUCUGCCCUGCACUCUGGGAUAAGCCUGGGAAACUGGGUCUAAUACUGGAUAUGACCUUUCUCCUUAUGGGGUUUGGUGGAAAGUUUUUCGGUGUAGGAUGAGCCCGCGGCCUAUCAGCUUGUUGGUGGGGUGAUGGCCUACCAAGGCGACGACGGGUAGCCGGCCUGAGAGGGUGAUCGGCCACAUUGGGACUGAGAUACGGCCCAGACUCCUACGGGAGGCAGCAGUGGGGAAUAUUGCACAAUGGGCGGAAGCCUGAUGCAGCGACGCCGCGUGAGGGAUGACGGCCUUCGGGUCGUAAACCUCUUUCAGCAGGGACGAAGCGUAAGUGACGGUACCUGCAGAAGAAGCACCGGCUAACUAUGUG